CUCCCUGGAAAGGGUUCUGCGGUGCCUUUACCUUCUGCUAACAGCAUGAACACGAAAGCAGGAAAAGAAAACAAAACAAGAAAAAGGAAAAAAAGAAUUUUUCAUAAAUAUUAGCAAGUUCAGAUGUAGAUGAAAUUCUAUCCCAGAAACGACAUAGACUCGCAUCUAGUCUAGCUCCGAAAAUAAAACCAUCUUGUAAAACCUUGGAAUAAAAUAAGAAAUCAAAAUUGAUAAAUGCAUAUUUAUAGAUGAGAUAUAAAACAACUGGGAAUUCUGCAAAUGUAUCCAGAAUACAAAAUUCACAAUCACCAUAUAAUCUAUAUCUACUUACAACAAUAAUCUCAAUCAACCAAGUCCAUCUCCAUUCCUCCUUCCAAUUGGCUAAAACGAAGAAAGAGGGUAUUCCUAUUCAUAUGCUUUAAGGUCAAUUUAUUGAAAAGAAAUGGGAAAAAAACAAAAUACUGUGAACAUAGCUUAAUCUGUGAACAAGGAAAUGAAGUAAAGGAGAAGAACUGGUUGCUCUAGUCAUUCAAAGUCAAGAAUCUGAAUGGCCCUCUGAAGUAUACGUGCUCGUAGAAGCUGAGCUUCCAUUGCCACCACGCCUCUUUGCAAAUCCAAUCAGUGAAGCAGCGUUCUUUACUUUCUGUGCGAACCCCUUGAAUAUCCUGGCCUUAAUCUGACCCCUUUGUGGAGGGAUUUUUACUAUUUUCGGCCUUUUUGGUGUCUCCUGAUUCUUAUCUUCUUCCAUUGUUUUGAACUGUUAAAGAAGUAAUAGAAACAGAACACAAACUCUGUUUUCAAAAGAAGGAAGAAACAGAGGUGAGACAAAGCUUAGGCCUGACAAAUAGAACAGAAGGUAUAGAGAGUUUUAUUUUUUUAGCCGAGUCACUGGAAAUAAGAAGGUUUAGUGGGGGGUAAGAGACCGGUGGUGCAUAUAUGUAGAGCUGAGAGGGAAUCACCUAACCCAGUUCAGUCAAAAGGAUUCACACAAAGUGUGAACAGAACUUUCACCAGAAAUAAAUGCUUAAAUUCAACUAUGGAAGUGGAAAUUCU
rnacentral:lncRNA from 1 species